rnacentral:rRNA from 1 species
AGUGGGGAAUUUUCCGCAAUGGGCGCAAGCCUGACGGAGCAACGCCGCGUGGGGGAGGAAUGUCUGUGGAUUGUAAACCCCUUUUCUCAGGGAAGAAGCUCUGACGGUACCUGAGGAAUCAGCAUCGGCUAACUCCGUGCCAGCAGCCGCGGUAAGACGGAGGAUGCAAGCGUUAUCCGGAAUUAUUGGGCGUAAAGCGUCCGUAGGCGGUUUAUCAAGUCUGUUGUCAAAGACUGCAGCUUAACUGUGGGCCGGCAAUGGAAACUGAUUAACUUGAGUACGGUAGGGGUAGAGGGAAUUCCCAGUGUAGCGGUGAAAUGCGUAGAUAUUGGGAAGAACACCAGUGGCGAAGGCGCUCUACUGGGCCGUAACUGACGCUGAGGGACGAAAGCUAGGGGAGCGAA